AGCGAACGCUGGCGGCAGGCCUAACACAUGCCAGUCGAACGAACCUUUCGGGGUUAGUGGCGGACGGGUGAGUAACACGUGGGAACGUGCCUUUAGGUUCGGAAUAACUCAGGGAAACUUGUGCUAAUACCGAAUGUGCCCUUCGGGGGAAAGAUUAAUCGCCUUUAGAGCGGCCCGCGUCUGAUUAGCUAGUUGGUUGAGUUAAUGGCUCACCAAGGGGACGCUAAGUACCUGGUCUGAGAGGAUGAUCAGCCACAUUGGGACUGAGACACGGCCCAAAAUCCUACGGGAGGCAGCAGUGGGGAAUCUUGCGCAAUGGGCGAAAGCCUGACGCAGCCAUGCCGCGUGAAUGAUGAAGGUCUUAGGAUUGUAAAACUCUUUCACCGGGGACGAUAAUGACGGUACCCGGAGAAGAAGCCCCGGCUAACUUCGUG
rnacentral:rRNA from 1 species